AACGAACGCUGGCGGCAGGCCUAACACAUGCAAGUCGAACGCUGCAGCAAUGCAGAGUGGCAGACGGGUGAGUAACGCGUGGGAACCUUCCCAGUGGUACGGAAUAGCCCAGGGAAACUUGGGGUAAUACCGUAUAAGCCCCUAGGGGGAAAGAUUUAUCGCCAUUGGAUGGGCCCGCGUCGGAUUAGCUAGUUGGUGAGGUAACGGCUCACCAAGGCGACGAUCCGUAGCUGGUCUGAGAGGAUGAUCAGCCACACUGGGACUGAGACACGGCCCAGACUCCUACGGGAGGCAGCAGUGGGGAAUAUUGGACAAUGGGCGCAAGCCUGAUCCAGCCAUGCCGCGUGAGUGACGAAGGCCUUAGGGUUGUAAAGCUCUUUUUGCGGGGACGAUAAUGACGGUACCCGCAGAAUAAGCUCCGGCUAACUUCGUGCCAGCAGCCGCCGUAA
rnacentral:rRNA from 1 species